GAACUUUUUGAUGCUUAGUCUCGAGAAUGAAACAAAGGACGUCGAAGCCUGUUAUCUCGCCGUGAUGAAUCAAAUCAUUUUCAAAAACGGUAUUUCACCUCAAAGGUUGACGGACUAUUGUAUGAACAAGGCGCCCACCAAACUAGAGGAAGCCUUCGAAGUCUCCGUCAAACUUAUCCAGGCGCAGCUGCAGCAGAAGCUCGGUCACGACGUUACACUUCAAUCGAUUCUCAUUUCCGAUUACGCUCAUCGAUCGGUUGUAGUUUGGGUUGAGCAAAGAUGCUAAAUUCAAGCAGCAAACAAAUUUACUGAACCAGCUUAUCGACUGCAUUGCUAAAUUUCGUGUUCAUUCCCCAAUGAAAAUGCUGAUAGUUUCGUUAGUUCCAACG